AGUGAACGCUGGCGGUAGGCCUAACACAUGCAAGUCGAACGGCAGCACAGUAAGAGCUUGCUCUUACGGGUGGCGAGUGGCGGACGGGUGAGGAAUACAUCGGAAUCUACUUUUUCGUGGGGGAUAACGUAGGGAAACUUACGCUAAUACCGCAUACGACCUACGGGUGAAAGCAGGGGAUCUUCGGACCUUGCGCGAUUGAAUGAGCCGAUGUCGGUUUAGCUAGUUGGCGGGGUAAAGGCCCACCAAGGCGACGAUCCGUAGCUGGUCUGAGAGGAUGAUCAGCCACACUGGAACUGAGACACGGUCCAGACUCCUACGGGAGGCAGCAGUGGGGAAUAUUGGACAAUGGGCGCAAGCCUGAUCCAGCCAUACCGCGUGGGUGAAGAAGGCCUUCGGGUUGUAGAGCCCUUUUGUUGGGAAAGAAAAGCAGCAGGUUAAUACCCCGCUGUUCUGACGGUACCCAAAGAAUAAGCACCGGCUAACUUCGUG
rnacentral:rRNA from 1 species